rnacentral:rRNA from 1 species
UACGUAGGGGGCAAGCGUUGUCCGGAUUCAUUGGGCGUAAAGAGCGUGUAGGCGGCCAGGUAGGUCGGUUGUGAAAACUGGAGGCUCAACCUUCAGAGGUCGACCGAAACCAUCUGGCUAGAGUCCGGGAGAGGAGAGUGGAAUUCCGUGGUGUAGCGGUGAAAUGCGCAGAUAUCAGGAAGAACACCCGUGGCGAAAGCGGCUCUCUGGAACGGUACUGACGCUGAGACGCGAAAGCGUGGGGGAGCGAAACAGG